ensembl:lncRNA
UGUAAAUGCGUUCCGUUUGUCAUAACGCGUUGUAAAUGCGUCCCGUUUGUCAUAACGCGUUGUAAAUGCGUCCCGUUUGUCAUAACGCGUUGUAAAUGCGUUCCGUUUGUCAUAACGCGUUGUAAAUGCGUUCCGUUUGUCAUAACGCGUUCAAGGAAGGCCUGCAGAAAAUUCAGUCAUUACCGACCGCGAUCACUUCUGGUCUGGGAACGGGUGAGAGUCCACGCCAAAAGACGAACAAUGCCUCUUCAGUUCGUGCCCAACAAAAGAGCGAGGGAACGUAUUUGAGUUUCAGAGCACGUCCUUUCUUACACAGAAGAGUGGACUAACCCCCCCCUAAAAAAAAAAAAAAAAAAAAAAGAACUUGCAGACUCUCAGAGCUUCAAUUGUGCACUCUUUAUUUGGUGCUGUAGAUGUUAUGGGAAAGUUCUCUCUCGCUCACUCUCCCCCCCGCCCCCUUCCUCUCAAUCUCUCCUUCUCUCAUGUGCUCGGAAUAUGCUCAGGGUUAACUCAGAGCAACCGAAGCACGCGUAAUGAAUUGAGUAUUAGCGGCAAUUUUAAAGGAAGGGACGGCCGUGGAAGGCUGGAUAUUUGGCGGACUGUCCAACGGGUCCCACACAGCAUGUAUCUUAUAUGGGAUGAUUUCUGAUUGCAUAUGCCGAUUGCGGCGAUGCUUCUCGCGCAGUUUGAGAAAGGUUGGAGAAAUAUGGCCCUGAUUCCCCUGCUUAGGAGAGAGGCCAAGUGGACAUGUCUGUCUGGGACUUUGCCUACUGCUGAACCAACAUGAGCUCAGGUGAGAGAGGAGUCAUCGGGAGCCAGACAGAGAGUACCAGGAUAACGGCUGUGUCCAUGUGUUAAGGAUGACCCACAGAUCACAGAGAUGGAGCAUCUAUCUGCGUGACCCUUUACUGUUGUCUCUAGUGGGGCUCGAGACAUGGGCUUCGAACACCACCUGAACAUCAACAUGCACAACCAUCAAGAUACAGUACGCUGAGAAGACAGAUACAGAACUCUACUAUUUAUAAUCAGCAUGCAUAUAUCUGUUCUAGAUACACAGAAACCACCAAAUACACACUAACAUCCUUUGAAUCAAGUCAGUUUUUUGUAUCAUUGUGAUUUAAAUCUGUAAGUUGUAAAACUGUUUACCAUGUCUACUCACUGGGAUGUAGAAGUACAACAUUAUUUAUUCUGAAUUGUAAAAGUCUGUAUUGGUGUAUUGGAUUUUGAAUUAACCUGUCCUUAGAAUACAGCAUAACAUCUGAAGGGAACCCGCAGGACACAUUGUCUUUAUCUGACAUUGACUGAAUUUAUAGAAAAAGUAAACAUCAAAGGGAAUAUUUUUGUACUUUCUCAAAUCAUUGUAUUUUCUCAAUGAACAGAAUAAAAUAUAUUCAAGAAUAUUUUGUUUCUGAGUUUUUUACAGUAUGUCUACAGUACUGUAUAUACCUUUGACAUGACUAGAUCCUCUGUGGGAUCAAUGUGAA